rnacentral:rRNA from 1 species
GUGGGGAAUCUUCCGCAAUGGACGAAAGUCUGACGGAGCAACGCCGCGUGGAGGACGAAGGCCUUCGGGUUGUAAACUCCUUUUGGAGGGGAAGAAUAAAUUGACGGUACCCUCAGAAAAAGCCACGGCUAACUACGUGCCAGCAGCCGCGGUAAUACGUAGGUGGCGAGCGUUACUCGGAAUUACUAGGCGUAAAGCGUAUGUAGGUGGUUAGAUAAGUCUAUGGUGAAAUUUCCUGGCUUAACUGGGAAGGGACAUAGAUACUAUCUGGCUUGAGUGUGGGAGGGGGAGACGGAAUUCCUGGUGUAGCGGUGAAAUGCGUAGAUAUCAGGAGGAACACCGAUGGCGAAAGCAGUCUCCUGGCCCAAUACUGACACUGAGGUACGAAAGCUAGGGUAGCAAACAGGAUUAGAAACCCGGGUAGUCC